GACAGAGGUUGCAAACGUUGUUCGGAAUUACUGGGCAUAAGGCGCACGUAGGCGGUUCGUUAAGUCAUGUGUGAAAUCCCUCGGCUCAACCGAGGAAUUGCGCCUGAUACUGGCGGGCUAGAGAUCGAUAGGGGUGAGUGGAACUCCAGGUGGAGCGGUGAAAUGCGUAGAUAUCUGGAGGAACACCGGUGGCGAAAGCGGCUCACUGGAUCGAUACUGACGCUGAGGUGCGAAAGCUAGGGUAGCAAACGGG
rnacentral:rRNA from 1 species